UGGUUAAACUACACUCAGCGAUUUAAUUCGUUUCGUACGCAUGAAAUUAUAUCGUUAUUUUAUUUUAACCUAAAGAGAUAAUCUCUUCACCCUUCGUUGCUCUUCGACCGAAACGUUGGUCCGUCUGCCGCGCCUCCCUUUUCCAUCACGUAGUUUUAAAUUCUUUUAAGGCUAUUUGAUGGGGAAGGGAGGUGCGGCGGAGGGACCAACGCGUAGGUGGGGGAACAACUUAGGCGUGUUUUGAUUUCCCCCUUCAUAUUCCCGGCAUUUUCAACGCCCCCUUGGGGCACCUUCUUGUUAAGGGAUGUUGUUUCUGCCGUAACAAAACGGAGGGGCACAAAGAACGACGCUGUUAGGAGCGUAAAAAAAAAAACGGUGUGG
rnacentral:sRNA from 1 species